rnacentral:rRNA from 1 species
UACGUAGGGGGCGAGCGUUGUCCGGAAUCAUUGGGCGUAAAGCGCGUGUAGGCGGCCCGGUAAGUCCGCUGUGAAAGUCCAGGGCUCAACCCUGGGAUGCCGGUGGAUACUGUCGGGCUCGAGUCCGGGAGAGGCGAGUGGAAUUCCUGGUGUAGCGGUGAAAUGCGCAGAUAUCAGGAGGAACACCAAUGGCGAAGGCAGCUCGCUGGGACGUGACUGACGCUGAGACGCGAAAGCGUGGGGAGCAAACAGG